rfam:Felis catus isolate Cinnamon breed Abyssinian chromosome D2, whole genome shotgun sequence.
GUCUGGGUGGCUCAGUCGGUUAAGCGUCUGACUUUGGCUCAGGUCAUGAUCUCGAGGUUUGUGGGUUCGAGCCCCACAUCAGGCU